CUGGAUGCGUCGGCCUAUCCAAGAGUGUCAUAUUCCUCACUGUGUAGAGGUUCCGUGCAUUCAAUAGGACAUUCACUACCGUCUGUGUUGCGAACGGUCCCGUUGCAACAAACUGGUGCUUUUUAUUCUGUCGUGAGUUUCUCGGCUGAAAGGACGCGAUCAAGCUUCUGCUCAUCUUCUUCGCCAGUCUGUUUUGGUAUUAGUGGCCUGACCCGGGGGUCAACUCGGCAGGGAACUGCUUCGCCUGGACAAAAGGCGUCGGUCCAGAUACCACUCUGUCAGAGAAUGCAUUACUGAAUGCGUGUCUAACCGACGUCCUCCACCGGUGCCCCGUCGCUCAUGGUCGGAAGUUCACUCAGGAACCUGCACUAGCUCCACAACUACCUCCGGUUGGGACAACAUGAUCAAGAACCAGUUUGCGCAGUGUAGGCAUAAGCUUGGCUUGCCACCGCGCAUAUCUCGAAGUUCUGUGAGAUCUCGAUGAAGUUGCGCAAAUAGCGGGGAGCACAGAGCGGCAGAAUCUUGAGGAAGGAAACCGGUUCGAUACUUCGAAAUCGACCUAUUGAGAACAAAGCUGUCCAAAUUAAAAAUUAGUAUAAGGCAUCGUUCA